rnacentral:pre_miRNA from 1 species
GUAUGUCAAGUGCAGCCAAGGAUGACUUGCCGGCAACAAAUUUAGUUUUUUUAACCCCCCCCCCUCUCUCUCUCUCUCUCUCUCUCUCUCUCUCUCUCUCUCUCUCUCUCUCGUACAUGGUUGUAUCUAUAAAAUUUAGGUUGGUAAAUUAAAGAAUCGGCAAGUCAUUUUUGGUUACAUUUGAGUGUCG